CAGUCGCCGCGGGAAUACGUAGGGGGCAAGCGUUAUCCGGAUUUACUGGGCGUAAAGCGUGCGCAGGCGGUUUUGUAAGACAGGCGUGAAAUCCCCGGGCUCAACCUGGGAAUGGCGCUUGCGACUGUAAAGCUAGAGUGCGGCAGAGGGGGAUGGAAUUCCGCGUGUAGCAGUGAAAUGCGUAGAUAUGCGGAGGAACACCGAUGGCGAAGGCAAUCCCCUGGGCCUGCACUGACGCUCAUGCACGAAAGCGUGGGGAGCAAACAGGAUUAGAUACCCGAGUAGUCCCUGUCUCUUAUAC
rnacentral:rRNA from 1 species